rnacentral:rRNA from 1 species
UUAAGUAACUAAGCGUACAAGGUGGAUGCCUUGGCAAUCAGAGGCGAAGAAGGACGUGCUAAUCUGCGAAAAGCUUGGAUGAGUCGAUAAGAGGCGUUUAAUCCAAGAUAUCCGAAUGGGGAAACCCAGUAGAUGAAGAAUCUACUAUCAACAAGUGAAUUCAUAGCUUGUUGAGGCAAACCGGGAGAACUGAAACAUCUAAGUACCCCGAGGAAAAGAAAUCAACCGAGAUUUCGUCAGUAGCGGCGAGCGAAAGCGAAAGAGCCAGUAAGUGAUAGCAGUAUAGUGAGGAGAAUGUGUUGGGAAGCACAAUCAAAGAGGGUGAUAAUCCCGUAUCUAAAAACCAUAUUGUGGUACUAAGCUAACGAGAAGUAGGGCGGGACACGUGAUAUCCUGUUUGAAGAAGGGGGGACCAUCCUCCAAGGCUAAAUACUCCUGAUUGACCGAUAGUGAACCAGUACUGUGAAGGAAAGGCGAAAAGAACCCCGGUGAGGGGAGUGAAAUAGAACCUGAAACCUUGUACGUACAAGCAGUGGGAGCCCCAUCACUUAAUCCGAUUGGAAGGUGAUGAAAAGCAACCGCACUUAAACAAUGGUAAGAGGAGCGAAGCGAGUCAAACCACCCAAAAGAAGCAGUGGGAUUAAGUGAUGGGGUGACUGCGUACCUUUUGUAUAAUGGGUCAGCGACUUAUAUUUUGUAGCGAGGUUAACUGAAUAGGGGAGCCGAAGGGAAACCGAGUCUUAACUGGGCGAGUAGUUGCAAGGUAUAGACCCGAAACCCGGUGAUCUAGCCAUGGGCAGGUUGAAGGUUGGGUAACACUAACUGGAGGACCGAACCGACUAAUGUUGAAAAAUUAGCGGAUGACUUGUGGCUGGGGGUGAAAGGCCAAUCAAACCGGGAGAUAGCUGGUUCUCCCCGAAAUCUAUUUAGGUAGAGCCUUGAGGUGACACCUUUGGGGGUAGAGCACUGUUUCGGCUAGGGGGCCAUCCCGGCUUACCAACCCGAUGCAAACUACGAAUACCAAAGAGUGAUACUCAGGAGACACACGGCGGGUGCUAACGUCCGUCGUGGAGAGGGAAACAACCCAGACCGCCAGCUAAGGUCCCCAAGUCUAUAUUAAGUGGGAAACGAAGUGGGAAGGCUUAGACAGCUAGGAUGUUGGCUUAGAAGCAGCCAUCAUUUAAAGAAAGCGUAAUAGCUCACUAGUCGAGUCGGCCUGCGCGGAAGAUGUAACGGGGCUGAAAUAUAGCACCGAAGCUGCGGCAUCAGAAUUUAUUCUGUUGGGUAGGGGAGCGUUGUGUAAGCGGAAGAAGGUUCAUCGAGAGGUGGGCUGGACGUAUCACAAGUGCGAAUGCUGACAUAAGUAACGAUAAAACGGGUGAAAAACCCGUUCGCCGGAAGACCAAGGGUUCCUGUCCAACGUUAAUCGGGGCAGGGUGAGUCGGCUCCUAAGGCGAGGCUGAAAAGCGUAGUCGAUGGGAAACAGGUUAAUAUUCCUGUACUUGGUAAAGCUGCGAUGUGGGGACGGAGUAGGUUAGGUUAUCGCACUGUUGGAUAUGUGCGUUUAAGUUGGUAGGUGGGAAGUUUAGGCAAAUCCGGGCUUCCUUAACACAGAGAGAUGAUGACGAGGCUCUACGGAGCUGAAGUAACUGAUACCACACUUCCAGGAAAAGCCACUAAGCGAAAGGCUUUACUAAACCGUACUGAAAACCGACACAGGUGGUCAGGUAGAGAAUACUCAGGCGCUUGAGAGAACUCGGGUGAAGGAACUAGGCAAAAUAGCACCGUAACUUCGGGAGAAGGUGCGCCGGCGUAGAUUGUAAGGGCUAGCCCCUGAAGGUUGAACCGGUCGAAGAUACCAGCUGGCUGCAACUGUUUAUUAAAAACACAGCACUCUGCAAACACGAAAGUGGACGUAUAGGGUGUGAUGCCUGCCCGGUGCUGGAAGGUUAAUUGAUGGUGUAAUCGCAAGAGAAGCACCUGAUCGAAGCCCCAGUAAACGGCGGCCGUAACUAUAACGGUCCUAAGGUAGCGAAAUUCCUUGUCGGGUAAGUUCCGACCUGCACGAAUGGCAUAAUGAUGGCCAGGCUGUCUCCACCCGAGACUCAGUGAAAUUGAAAUCGCCGUGAAGAUGCGGUGUACCUGCGGCUAGACGGAAAGACCCCGUGAACCUUUACUAUAGCUUGACACUGAACAUUGAAUUUUGAUGUGUAGGAUAGGUGGGAGCCUUUGAAGCAGUGACGCCAGUCAUUGUGGAGGCGACCUUGAAAUACCACCCUUUAACGUUUGAUGUUCUAACGAAGAUGACGAAACGUGGUCUCGGACAGUGUCUGGUGGGUAGUUUGACUGGGGCGGUCUCCUCCCAAAGCGUAACGGAGGAGCACGAAGGUUUGCUAAUCACGGUCGGACAUCGUGAGGUUAGUGCAAUGGUAUAAGCAAGCUUAACUGCGAGACAGACAAGUCGAGCAGGUACGAAAGUAGGUCAUAGUGAUCCGGUGGUUCUGAAUGGAAGGGCCAUCGCUCAACGGAUAAAAGGUACUCCGGGGAUAACAGGCUGAUACCGCCCAAGAGUUCAUAUCGACGGCGGUGUUUGGCACCUCGAUGUCGGCUCAUCACAUCCUGGGGCUGAAGUAGGUCCCAAGGGUAUGGCUGUUCGCCAUUUAAAGUGGUACGCGAGCUGGGUUUAGAACGUCGUGAGACAGUUCGGUCCCUAUCUGCCGUGGGCGUAGGAGAAUUGGUUGGGGCUGCUCCUAGUACGAGAGGACCGGAGUGGACGCACCACUGGUGUUCCGGUUGUGUCGCCAGACGCAUUGCCGGGUAGCUAAGUGCGGAAGAGAUAAGUGCUGAAAGCAUCUAAGCACGAAACUUGCCAAGAGAUGAGUUCUCCCAAUCUAAGAGAUUGUAAGGGUUGUUGUAGACUACGACGUAGAUAGGUCUGGUGUGUAAGUGUAGUGAUGCAUUGAGCUAACAGAUACUAAUUGCCCGAGAGGCUUAACU